rnacentral:lncRNA from 1 species
UUUUGUUGCAUGCAAUUGCAACUGCCCUGCAACUAUAAGUAUAUAUAAAUACAAAUUUGAUAUUUGAUUUGAUAUAUUUAACUUCAACUAUUAAAGUAAGAAUUACAGGAGGAAGUCUAACUGUAGCAGUUGGAAUUACGCUCAAAUUGACCGCAGUUUUAAAUGCAGCAGUUAGAGAGAGUAACUUUAAAUAAAAGAUAAGAUUACCUUCCUAAUUAUUGUUUAAAGAAAAUAUAUGUACAUAUUUUUACAUUGGAAAUAAUCUCACCGUCAUAUAUAUAAAAUGAUAAAAUUUUAAAAAUUAUUUCUCAGCUACAUACAACUAAAUAAAUUAUUUAUAGUUAGAACGAUUUCUACUACAUUGAACCAAACAUAAUGCAUAUAGUUACAAUUACUGUAUUUUCAACUGUAUACAUUUUCAACGACACUGUAUUUAUAAUUACAUCUAAUCAAAUGGUCCCUUAAUAAAACUAAUUGUUAAAUUUGAUGAAUCAAAGGAAAAGAAGAAGAAUCAGAAAG